rnacentral:lncRNA from 1 species
CUAUAAAACAUGGACCAUUACAACAAAAAUGGAACAGAAACUAGUAACAAUCCAAAAAAGCAUGGAAAGGUAUGUUAGGAUUCACCAGGAGGGACCACAAGAUAAACACCUGGAUAAGAAAAUAAACCAGAGAAGAAGACAUAAUGCUUCUAAUAAUUUACACCAACACCCAUUGAACAAAGAGAAUCAGAGCAGUAACAAGACAAGGGAAAAGAUAUCCUGUCAAGCAAUACAAAUGAUGGAGAGAUGAUAUAAAAAAAGUAAUUGGCUCCUACUGGAUGCAGAUUGUGCAAGAUAGGUACAUCUGGAAACAAAAAGGAGGCAUAUAUAUAUAUAUAUAUAUCC